rnacentral:rRNA from 1 species
UACGUAGGGGGCAAGCGUUGUCCGGAAUCAUUGGGCGUAAAGAGCGCGUAGGCGGCCCGAUAAGUCCGCUGCGAAAGUCAAGGGCUUAACCCUUGAAUGCCGGUGGAAACUGUCGGGCUAGAGUCCGGAAGAGGCGAGUGGAAUUCCGUGGUGUAGCGGUGAAAUGCGCAGAUAUCAGGAGGAACACCGAUGGCGAAGGCAGCUCGCUGGGACGGUACUGACGCUGAGGCGCGAAAGCGUGGGGAGCGAACAGG